CAUAUUCUCUGCAUCUGUAUUUAUUUAAAAAUGCUUUUGCAACCUGACACUGUUCAGCUUUUUUAUCUUUUACCAGUAUUUGGGGACUUAUUGGGGAUUCCUUUGAUAAUUUCAGGAAGAAAGAAGUGGAAUGGAAGGAGCCAGUAACUGUCCCAGGUCAGAAAACGCCUCUGAAAAGGAUCUACAUUACACCCAAAGUUCAUUGGAUAACUGCACCCUCAACAAUCAGGAGACAAUAAGUGGUGUAGACAGAGCUAAUAUCUUCCCCAAAUCAGAUGGUACCUCUGAAGACAUUCAGCAUUCCACAGACUGUUCACAGGUUGAGACUUUCCACAUUCAGGAGACAAUAAGUGGUACGAACCAAGCCAGUAACUGCCCCAAAUCAGAUGGUGCCUCUGAAGACAAUCAGCAUUGCACAGACAGUUCACAGCAUGACAGUAUCUUCCACAUUCAGGAGACAAUAAAGGGUACGAACCAAGCCAGUAACUGCCCCAAAUCAGAUGGUGCCUCUGAAGACAAUCAGCAUUGCACAGACAGUUCACAGCAUGACAGUAUCUUCCACAUUCAGUGGCUCUUGAUGUAGAACCACCCAUAGAUCCUUCUGCAAAAGAAGUCCAGAAAUCUUCAAUUGAACAAGCAACAGAAAUAACAAGUACCACAACUACCAUGAAAGGUACUGUUUGUUAAACUUCAUAGAAAGCCUUUAUGAACUUAAAAAUCUCUGUUUUUUCUGAUGUGCUUUGUUCAUUCAGGUCGAAAGGUGGUAAAGAAAAAGAAAUGGGACAGUGAUGAAAUGAAUGCAGUUGAAAAGCAUCUAAACAGGUUCAUCAAAACUUGUACAGUGCCAGGAAAACAACAAUGUGAGGCCUGUAUAAAUGCUGAACCUGUUGCCUUGAAAGACAGGGAUUGGUUGUCUGUAAAGUUCUUUGUGAAGAACAAAAUCACUACCCUUAAAAGAAGAAUGUAAAGUCAGUUAUUUUAUUUUGUUUGGUAUCUUAUUUUCUGGUAUUUUAGAUUUCUGGUUAUUACAUUUGUUUUAAAAGGAUCUUAGAAUCUCUUUUUUUUUUUUUUGGAAAUGGGUGCAAUUCAGU
rnacentral:lncRNA from 1 species